AUAAUAUUGUACAUUGCCGUCUUCUGUUAUAUCUAUAGUGCUAAAUGUGACUCUCCUUUCUCUGUAAGGAUCUAUUUGUUCUGGUUCCUCAUAAUUGGAGUAGGCCUCAUUGUCAUAUUGUCUUUGUUCUACAGAGUUGGUUGCGGAGGAUGUUUUCUUCUUGGUGACCCUUCUCCAAAGUACAUCAAUACAAGGUCUUGCUAGGACUCCUAGGAUAAAGGCUAUCAGAAACGUGAUGAAAACAGACAAACACACAGCCAGAGCCAAGUCAGACUGUGUAGCUGUCAGAUUCCUUUCUUGUCCUAUCCUAGUUGGUGUGCCUUGUGGGAUUAUUUGUCGACUGGUUCCUGCGCAAGACAGGAGUAUCUCAGUGCCACUAUAGACCGUCACAUCUUGGUGGAGCUCUGGCCUGUUUUCAGUACUAAAACAGUUAAGAUCAUCCUCCUCCAACUGCAGCAGGUCUCUGCCUGAGAGGAUGGAGGGGGAAGCACACACCAUGCUCCAGGCCUGAAGGCCUCUGUCGCUGUCAUAGACCAUCCGCCUUCUUAGACUGCGCACACUGCAAUCACACUGCCAGCUGUUCCCACCCAGCCUAACAUUCGCCCCAAUGUUACGCAGAGAAAGGUACAUCAAAGGAUGGAGGCUGGUCAACAUGUUGAAGCUCAGAUCCAGAACCUUUGAGGGGAACACGAUAUGGACAUACAGCAGAUGUUGAGAAGUGAUUGUUAAAAUAAUUAAAUGAAAAGUUAUCUUAGUAAAAGCGACAUUGUCUUUUAAUUAGAUAAUACUUUUAUGAAAUUGACACUGUGAGACUGUGUGACAUCACUGAAUGUAUUGUUGGAAUACUGAAUACUCUGGCCAUGUUUUCAAUAAAUUAGAUUAAAAAAUCAGGGUUACCCGGAGCUGGGAUAAAUCCUGGAUCAUCUGUGGAUGGAGACUUGUGAUGAAGUUAUGUUGUAGGUGUAGCUCUUUUAACUGUUGAAGGUGGCUAAGGUCUCCUGGUCGUAGAGUUGAGAUCCUGUUGAAGGAGAGCUGCAGAACCUGUAAGGACACACUACCUUCCAGUCCUGGAUGACAGAAAACAAAAGCUGUAAUUAGAACUCAACAAUAACCAUGAUGGGGUGGCUUCUGGAGGGAGAAAGGAAUGUACUGUAUGUUAUAGGUUUUCUAUGAAAAUACCAGUUGGUCUCUCUCUCUCUCUGGUUUAUUUUAACUGUGAACACUUACAGUAUGACAUAUUGGGGGCUAUGAGACUUUUUUUCCGCUCAUUCCUUGCUGUCUGCCCCUUUUCACUAGACUGAGACAAUCUCCCUGAGAAUGCUGGGCUGAAGUAAGGCACUGUGGGUCUGUGCUUCAUUAGAGAGGCACUGAGGGUACUGUGAGCUGAAUACCAAGCAGGAAAGAAGUCUAUGACUGUCAACACAGCUCUUGCCAAGUAAAUGGGCUGUCCACAUAUGUCUUUAAAGGAACCAUAGUGAAUGCAUUUUGUUUUUUUAAAUACACAUAUGUUCAACCAAGCAGCAGGAAUUAUAUGAAUAACAUGAUGCAGGGGGAAACCUAAAAGUUGUACUGCAUGUUUACAACUUUCUAUGAGUCGCUGGAAUGUCAAUAAAACUGACUGGCUGAAGGGUGUACAGUGUCAUUAUCUUGUGAGGUUUAAUCAUUUCUGAGUGGAGCAAAGUACUAAAGAUAAAGGAUAUCAAUGAGGGGGUUUGUUUAUAUGUAAGAAUCAAAUGAAAGCAACACACACAGUUUAUAGACUUAUUCUACCAUCUGGACAAAGUAGACAACAUUUGGUAAAUAAUAUGCUUACAAGGUGGCCCUACCUUUCAGGUCUGACUCAUUGACAUUUCUCAACGACACUGCAGAGGGCAAUCAAAGGUGUGCAUAGUGUUGAUUGUGCAAGUUCACUAUCCGAUGCAUAAUCUUCAAUCACCCACCCACAUGGAAAAUGUCUUUUUAAAGACGGACAUUCAUGUGUAAUCUACGUGAUAAAAUUUACACGAUGCUAAUGGGACACGAAAGAAGUCAAAAAGGUUAAGCUACUCAAAGUAAAAAAAAAAUCAUCUUCUUUCCCCUAAGCUUUGCUUUGUUUGUGAAAUAUUAUUCACAAUAUUCUUUAUAUAUUAUUAUAUAAUACAAUAUGUGGCGCAAAUUUAUUUUAGUUCACUCCUCCACUCUGUCUCUGACUGUAGGUGUCAAACCCCCUCACAUUGCACUUCAUGUAACCAUUAAUAUUACUAUUUAACCUUAGAUCAUAUUGGGUUUGGUCUAUAACUCAUUAUAAGUGACGAUGCACUAAUGUGAACACUGCACUGUUCAUAAUUGAAGUUGGUAGUAUGAGUUCCUACUCGUAUUUGUUGCCAAUUAUAUCUUGAUUGUUACAUUUUUGUGUGUUGUGUGUAGGAUUAAUAAAUUCUAGCGUUUUUUAUACAGUACAUGUGUGUUGAGAAGUGUUGGAAAGUAAGUAAGUACAUUUACUCAAGUACAGUUUUGAGGUACUUGUAUUUUGCUUGAGUAUUUCCAUUACAGUGUUACUUUAUACUUGUACUCCAUUACAUUUCUGAGGGAAAUAUUGUACUUUAUAUCCAUCUGUUGAACAGCAAUUUCAGAUUAAGAUUUUACAUUAAAAACACAUGAUCAGUUUAUCAAACAUUAUGCAUUGUUAUAGAUUAAAUCAACCAUGUAUAAAAUAAAUUCAGUUAGCUCCCUCUUGACCUACUACACUAAAGCAUUAAAGUGCUGCGAACAUGUAAACACAUCAAUAAUAAUGAUCCAAUAUCAAAUAAAAUAAUAAUAAAACAUUAACAGGGCCAAUCCUGACUAUACUUUUUUCAA
rnacentral:lncRNA from 1 species